rnacentral:lncRNA from 1 species
AAUUUAUCAUCAUGGGAAAUAGCAUAUAAACAAGCUUCAUAAAAAUUUCUAAGCAGUAGGCCUACUACAUAUUUCUCAACGUAAACAUCAUGACCAUAAGCUAUCCCAAAGUUUUCACACCUUUCACACAGUAGGGCAGCAUUAGUCAUACAUAAUUAACAACACAUCAAAGAAACUUUAUUGAGGGAUAGCAGUGAAAAAAACAUCUGCGUCUUGGGUAAAGCUGGGCAAUGCUUAAUGUGAGGAGCAGGGCCCGAUUGGAAGGAAGCCCAUUCAGGACGAAGUUGACCUGGAGAAGGCAGCUGCAGGCAGAUGAGAACAGAACGCAGCCAAGCCAAUGAAUUCAGCCAAGUCACUGAGAAGUCUGUCUGUAACAUUUGGAAGAUACAGUUCAACCUUGUAGGACUUUUGUAAUUCCCCAUUGUACUUUACAGAGAUAGAGCACUUUGUUGCAGUCAGACAUUUGUUUUUGUUUACCUUUAACAUAGUGAGGCUGGAACACAAUAGUUUGACCUGGCUUGGUGGAAAGCCCACUCACCACGUCAAGGUGCAGGUCAUGAGUGGAAAAAAAGGUGUGUGUGUGUGUGUGUGUGUGUGUGUGUGUGUGUGUGUGUGUGUGUGUGUGUGUGUGGGGCACUCCAAGCGUCCUUCCCUGUGUGUGUGUGUGUGUGUGUGUGUGUGUGUGUGUGUGUGUUUGUGGGGGCACUCCAAGCGUCCUUCCCUGUGUGUGUGUGUGGGGCACUCCAAGCGUCCUUCCCUGUCUGUGUGUGUGGGGGGGCACUCCAAGCGUCCUUCCCUGUCUGUGUGUGUGUGUGUGUGUGCCACAUUUGACCACAGCGGGGGCUUAACUCAAAAUCUGCGGUGGUCUGACGGAAUCACUUAAAUUGUCCGUGAUGUGGCCACGGAAUUUGCUCCAAUGCAAGUAAAUGACACUGUUAUUCCGUGGCUCACACACGGAUAUCGGCGUGUUUCCCUGAUGUGGCCACGGAUUUCGAGUUAAGCGUCCGACCGUAGUCAUUUCACGGAUUCCUGUGAGACCAUGUUGGAAAUUA